CUCUCCACAGACAUGGAAAAAAGCCAGAUGCGGUUCUUACUCAGUCAGUUGCUUCAGAGACGGGAAGAGUAAGUGCGUUGAAAUCUCCGAGUACUGUAGCUCUGAAUAUCCCAGCUGUGAAAGCCAACUGGACCCGCGAGUUUGUUUGAUGAUUGCGAGCAAAAGGCUUGAUAAACUGAGCAACUUCUCCCGACAAGUCAAUGCACAAGGCACAAAUCUCAACAAGUCCAUGAGCUGAUAAAUAUAUUUCG